UACGUAGGGGGCAAGCGUUGUCCGGAUUUAUUGGGCGUAAAGCGCGUGUAGGUGGCCAUUUAGGUCCGCUGUGAAAACUUGAGGCUCAACCUCAAGCUGUCGGUGGAAACCACUUGGCUAGAGUCCGGAAGAGGAGAGUGGAAUUCCUGGUGUAGCGGUGAAAUGCGCAGAUAUCAGGAAGAACACCUGUGGCGAAAGGCGGCCACCUGGGCCGACCCUGACGCUGAGGCGCGAAGGCGUGGGGGAGCGAAACGGGG
rnacentral:rRNA from 1 species